AGGCCGAAGCUUUGCGCAAUCCUCCUGGAUAUCGUUCCUUUCCCUGAUCCCGGUGGACCCAUGAUAGCAGCUCGGAAUAACUUGGCCAUGCUCUCUUCCGGACGCGCUACAUGCCGUGUGCGUCUCUUACGGGCGGAGACUCUUUUUCUCCCCCUCUGCAAAUGAAUGAGGAGUCUCCACAACGCCCUGUUUUCUUUUCUUUUUUUCCUGCACACAUCAUCCAGAAAAAAUGCGGAUGACUGAGUCGCGCGAACUUUGCGGGGUAAACUGGUUACUGUAGUUUUUGUGUUUGUUUUUUGUUUCAAUGGAAGCACAACAACAACAACUGUAGUCAUAUAGUUUCCACAGAGAGAGAGAGAGGAAGAGGGGGAUUGGUUCUGAUGAGGUUUUAGAAGCAAAUGGAUGGUCAAAGUCAGCUUUAAUGUCACUUCUAACAUUUGUGCAAACGCAGAAGAUCUGAAAGAUCGUGUCUCUCUUGUCCAACAUAAAGUGAGUAAUAAUCAACAACAACAAAGAACAUUUAGACAAUAAAAAGCCAUCCUUCCAGAUGUUGUAUACAAACUGUUUAUCUCACAAAAAUGGGGAGGAGUAGGAUUUAGGAGAAGGCGUGUUUGAGGAUGUGUCAUAUAGGUCUAAGUCAAAAGUAAAAGAAAAGAUAAAGAAAAAGAUAUUUUAUAAUACAAAAUACACACAGAAACAUGAAGGUGCCAUGGAACCGAAAAUGGUUCUUCAGAGUGAUGCCGUAGAAGAACCAUUUCUGGUUCCAUAAAGAACCUUUCAAACCAGGGUUCUCUAAAGAACCAUUUCCUUAAAGAGUUCUUCAAAGAACCUAUAAAGGUGUCUCAAUCUAAAGAAUGGUUCUUCAGUGAUGGGUUCUUCGUAGGACCACAAAGCCUUUUAAAGAACCACUGAAGAGCCUUUAUUGUUCUGUCUACUAACAGUUCAAAUAAGUUAAUUGCAACAUUUCUGAAUCUUUUCUACAGAGUUUCCUGUUGGUAAAGUCUGAUCUACACAUGUUUAAUAAGAUAAUCACACCUAAUUCAAGUUAAAACUUGUUUCACAUUAUAAUGUGGACUAACAGCCAUGAGUCACUCGUGUAUUCCGAGCCAGAAAGGGGGCGUGUCCUUGUCAGCCAACUUAUUUCCCCUUAUAGCAUUACUAUAUUGAUAUUAGCAAUGGAAAUAUAUUAUAUAAAUGAUCUCAGUGGUUUCUUAAGGUAUUUAAAAUGUCUAGACUAAAAUCUGCGAUAAAUUAAUUAUAAGAUUACAUAAUGUCAUAGGACUUAUUAAGGUGUUUAGUCUUGGAUUCCACCACUUUUGUUGUUGUUGUUUUUGUCGAUGUCGUUCUCUCACGUCAGAGCUUUUUUUAAUUGUUCUUAUCUGUUUUGCACUUUAUUAUUAUUAUUAUUAUUAUUAUUAUUACUACUACAAUCACGCUUUUUUAAAUUGUUGUUAGCUGUUUUGCACUUUAUUAUUAUUAUUAUUAUUAUUAUUAUUACUACAAUCACGUUAUGUUGGAUAAGAGAGAAACGUACUUUCAGAUAUUCUCUCUGUUUGCAUAAUUAGAAAAAGUGACAAUAAAGAUGACUUUUGACUUUUAUUAAAUGUUAUGCUUCACGUGGUGGUUAUUUGUCAUGUUUUUGUCAUGUUUUGUUGUUGUUUUUGUACUGCUCGGCUGACUGGCGCAGCAAAAUUGUGCACGAGUCGCUGUCAUUCCGCGCAACGUUUGCGGACGGGCGGAAUCUGGAGACUUGUCUACUUGUUGCGAGGAGCCACACGGCAGCAGCAGCAGCAGCGACCCGGAGCUGCGGAGCUGUCAGUGCGCCUCCAGCCUCCACGGAGGACCCGGACUUAAUCCACCAGAGCAGCACCUCGCAGGAAUAACCUUCUUCUAGGAACCUUCGUAGAAAGUAUCUUUUCCUACAGCCUUUAUUUUGUUUUAUUCCACCAUCCCUUUUUUUCUAUUUUUUCUUCUUCUGUCACAUGGCUUUUUGGAGAAUUCAAUAACAACAAAAAAUGGCGACAUGCAGUCAACGUUGCUCCGUGUGUGUCUUGCUGCGUCAUUAAAAAAAAAUAUUCACGUGAACGCGCGGAGGAAAAAGAAAUAUGCAGCGUGGUGUUUGUUUGUUUUUUUGCCCAUGCAGAAAAAGGGGUGUGUGUGCAAAGCUGGGCGUUAACGUUUGGCUGCACAAUAUUCACAGAACAUUGCACUUAUAUCCCCCCUGGUCAAAGCAGGUAUGUAUAUUAUUAUUAUUAUAUAACGAUACGUUGUAUUGUGCAACUUUAUUUUCAUGUGUAGAAUACAGCAACAUGGGGUUUAUUGUAGUUGUCGAUGGCGUGAUUGUUAUUCUCUAGCUUAUGUAUGUUUCAAUGUGUGGUGCGUUCACGGUCAGUAGGUUUUUAAGGCAUAACCCAGUUGUUUAUUGAAAAGGUUUAUGUAAUAUGUGGACGCGCUUUCUUCACAGGGUGUCUUGUUCCGGUCAUUGAUGACAACGAGUGGAGCCUUCGGACGUGACUGUGUGCGCGCGCGUGUGUGUGUGCGCAUGUGUGUGCCAUGUUUAGAGUUAUUUGCGCAUGUGGCUUUGCUUUUUUUCCUUUGGCCCUGAGCUGCGGGGCUAAUGGAGUUGUUUUCAUGAAGUGCGGAGGAGGAGCAGGAGGAGCAGGAGGAGGAGGAGGAGGAGGAGGAGCUACCUAGAGACGCCACCGGACUCCUCGAGACUGCUCGCGAGGAGGAGGAGGAAGGGGGGUGGAGGGGGAGCCCGCGAGGAAAAUCAUAACAAGACUGACGUCACUCGGCCUUGUGGUUCAUAUGAAAAAUAAACAAUAGUCCUCGAAGGAAAGAAGGUUUAAAAUAAGAAAGGAAGAAGGUUGUUUUGCAAUAGCAGAAUGGAAAUAAUGAAAAACCAAAUACUUUCAUAUGGAAAGAGAUAUAAAUAACUAAACAUGAUAAAAUACAUGAAACUAUAUAGCGAGCUUCCUCCAAUUUUAAAAUAACUGCAGUGUUUUAAUAUAUGCUCACAGCGUGAGGAUGGUUUUCACUUUCGAGUUGUUUGCCCAAAAUAUUAAGGAAUUUAGUAAAGGUUUUAUACAUAUAUAUAUAUAAAACCUUU